AGAAGAAAAGUGCAUUUAGAUGUGUAGUUUCCGAAAUAUUUAAAGCCGUUUAGUGACGUAACCCGUUUCCUGUACAUCUCUUGCUGGGAGUAAAAGCUGAGAUUGACUCCAACCUGUCUUUAGCUUAGCUGCCUACAAAGGCAAUGAGCAUGGAGAGUUACUAGCUUCUUCAAAGUAGCAUCAAAGAACAGGUUGGUACUGCUCAGUGGGCUGGGUGUCUUGUCUGAUGCAUCGUCACCCAGCGAGGGGCUGGUGUUACCCAGGGGUGAGCUCUCCAUGCUGUUUGCAUCAGGGUGUCCCUGUGGAGCUGGAAAGGGAAGACGAGGUGUAACUGAUUUGAUGAACGUCAUGAUGUGAAGUAUCCAGAGCAUAUCAGUAAUGUUAAGGAGCCCUUUUCUUCCAACUGUAGACUUGUGCCAUUUGCUACUAGAGGAGGUGAAAGGUCAUCGCUGGUCGCCUGGUCUUUAGGGGCUGGUCGAUCUGAGAUGAAACACACAAAAGCCAAAAGAAACAGAAGAAACCACCAGAACUGGGGCAGAGACAUGGAUGGAGAGAGAAACAAGUGAAGGAUUAAUCAGGCAGAGGAGCUGAGAGCACCUGUGCAGAGCUGCUGCUGCAACACAUUGUCACAUGUGUGAAGACAAGACGAAUGAUGGUGUGAAGAUGUGAGAAGGGGUUUGAGGAGGGCGGGACAGGGCUGACAAAAGAUCACAUAGUUGUUUAGUCCACAUACUGUGACCUAUUUAUAGCGUCGCUGAUUUGGGACCUGAAGCACUAAAACA